GGAGAGGAAAGCACUGACAUGUGUGGUACGCAUGUCAGUGAGAGGAGGAAAAGACAAGGGAGAGCUGGGCUGAUGCUGUGCUGGCCGAACUGGGCCGGUUGGGCUGGGUUGGCCCAACUGAGAGAGCUUUGUAACGGGAAAACAAAGCUUCCAUAAAAAUUCAGAGUCUUUGAAGGACACUCAUCUUGAGUUGCAAGUGUGGAGUUGAUUUCAAGCGUUUUAAACCGAGGUUUUAAAUUCCCCUCAUUUUCAGGUUUCAGCAUAAUGCGAUGCGAUGCUCAUGAUGCACAUUACAACUCCUAUUAACUAGUAGCUAAACUGGGGAUGUUACAGCUGUGUACAUCUUACUCCCUCUUUUUCACAAAGAAUGGCGUUCACGUUUUUCUAGAUCAAACUUUGACCAACGAUUAAACAAAAGUACGUAGAUUAUAUGUUACAAAUUUUAUAUCGUUGGAAAGGUUUUUGAAAUACGAAUCCAAUGAUAUAAUUUUUAUAGCAAAUAACCCUCAAAUAAUUAGUUUAAUUGUCGGUCAAAAUAAAAUCUUGAAAUGCGUGCGUGCCAUUUUUUGUGAAAUGGAGGGAGUAUUAUGUAGAGGCUGUGGUUUAUUCUUGUGAUGUAUCAUCUUGAUAUGACAGCAAGUUUAAUAAAGCUCCAUUUUCAGAAGAAAAAAAAGAGUCAUGGGAGUACUCUAAAAUUGCAACUUGCACAAGUGACAAGGGAAAACCACAUGGGAAUAAUUGAUGGUUUGUGCGCAUCUUCAGCGACCAAUGGACAAGGAGGUGGUGUUCCCUGGCAGGUGGACCAGGUGGCCACGGAUGUGUUUACCCUUCAUGGAUGGCGGCAUAGUCUCAGAAUUGGCGCUUGACUACUUUGAGAGUUUUGGUGUUACACCUUCCUUUUAAUCUUAUGUUUGCUACAGUUUGGUUGGGCUGCGUGCAUAUUGUUCUGUAGUGGCUUGGGUUUAUUCUUGUGAUGUAUGAG